rnacentral:rRNA from 1 species
CACGUAGGGGGCAAGCGUUGUCCGGAUUUAUUGGGCGUAAAGAGCGUGUAGGCGGUUGGGUAGGUCCGUUGUGAAAACUCGAGGCUCAACCUCGAGACGCCGAUGGAAACGCCCCAGCUAGAGUCCGGAAGAGGAGAGUGGAAUUCCUGGUGUAGCGGUGAAAUGCGCAGAUAUCAGGAAGAACACCCGUGGCUAAGGCGGCUCUCUAGUACGGUACUGACGCUGAGACGCGAAAGCGUGGGGAGCGAACAGG